AUGUCCCAAAAUUGCCCCCAAAUGACCCAAAAUGGCACUAAAUGGCCCAAAAAUGGCUCAAAAUGGCACCAAAAUGGCCCAAAAUGGCCAAAAAUGGCCAAAAAUGGCAUCAAAAUGAUACGAAAUGACCCAAAAUGCACCAAAAUGGCCCCAAAAUGGCCCAAAAUGUCUCAAAAUGCCCCAAAAUGUUUCAAAAUGGCCCAAAAUUGCCCCAAAAUGGCACCAAAAUGGCCCAAAAUUGCCCAAAAAUGUCCCAAAAUUGCACCAAAUGGCACCAAAAUGUCCCCAAAAUGUCCCCAAAAUGGCCCAAAAUGGCCCAAAAUUGCCCCAAAAUGCCCCAAAAUGGCCCCAAAAUGCCCCAAAAUGGCCCCAAAAUGCCCCAAAAUGGCCCAAAAAUGUCACAAAAUGGCCCCAAAAAACCCAGAAAAAAAAUCUCUAAAAAACAUGGAAAAAAUCCCCAAAAAUUCCCAAAAAAAUCCCAAAAAUUCCCAAAAAAUCUCAAAAAUUCCCAAAAAAAUCCCCAAAAUUCCCAAAAAAAUCCCAAAAAAUCCCAAAAAUUCCCAAAAAUUCCCAAAAAAAUCCCAAAAAUUCCCAAAAAAAUCCCAAAAAAUCCCCAAAAUUCCCAAAAAUUCCCAAAAAAAUCCCAAAAAUUCCCCCAAAAAAUCCCAAAAAUUCCCCAAAAAAUCCCAAAAAUUCCCAAAAAAAUCCCCAAAAUUCCCCAAAAAAUCCCAAAAAUUCCCAAGAAUUCCUGAAUUGUCCCACAAUGGUCCCCAACUGUCCCCAAAAUCCCCAAACCCUCCUGGAACCCCUAAAAAAAUCCCUGAAAAAUCCAUAAAAAACCCUAAAAAUCACCAAAAAAUCCCCAAAAAAAUCCCCAAAAAAUCCCAAAAAAAUCCAAAAAAAAAUCCCAAAAAAAAUCCAAAAAAAAUCCGAAAAAAUCCGGAAAAAUUCCCCAAAAUUCCCGAAAAUUCCUGGAAUUUGUUCCCGUUGUUUCCAGCGCAUGGAGCAGAUGCUGGGCUCGUUCCAGAGCUCGCUGAGCUCGCUGAGCUGGGAGAUCCGAGCCCUAAAAAAAUCCCCUAA
rnacentral:lncRNA from 1 species